GAUGAACGCUGGCGGCGUGCCUAAUACAUGCAAGUCGAGCGAACGGACGAGACGCUUGCUUCUUUGAUGUUAGCGGCGGACGGGUGUGUAACACGUGUAUAACCUACCUAUAAGACUGGGAUAACUUCGGGAAACCGGCGCUUAUACCGGAUAAUCUUCUGAACCGCAUGGUUCAAAAGUGAAAGUCGGUCUUGCUGUCACUUCUAGAUGGAUCCGCGCUGCAUUAGCUAGUUGGUAAGGUAACGGCUUACCAAGGCAACGAUGCAUAGCCGACCUGAGAGGGUGAUCGGCCACACUGGAACUGAGACGCGGUCCAGACUCCUACGGGAGGCAGCAGUCGGGAAUGUGCCGCAGUGGGCGGAAGCCUGACGGAGCAGCGGCGCGUGAGUGAUGAAGGUCUUCGGAUCGUAAAACUCUGUUAUUAGGGGAGAACAUAUGUGUAAGUAACUGUGCACAUCGUGACGGUACCUAAUCAGAAAGCCACGGCUAACUACGUG
rnacentral:rRNA from 1 species